GACGAACGCUGGCGGCGUGCCUAAUACAUGCAAGUCGAACGCAGUGGGGACGGGUGAGUAACACGUGGGUAACCUGCCAUCAGAGGGGAUAACACUUGGCAACAGGUGCUAAACCGAUCCUGAAGGAGGGACACGCGGUGCAUUAGCGAGUUGGUGAGGUAACGGCUCACCAAGGCCACGAUGCAUAGCCGCCCUGAGAGGGUGAUCGUCCACACUGGGACUGAGACACGGCCCAGACUCCUACGGGAGGCAGCAGUAGGGAAUCUUCGGCAAUGGACGAAAGUCUGACCGAGCAACGCCGCGUGAUUGAAGAAGGUUUUCGGAUCGUAAAACUCUGUUGUUAGAGAAGCGGUAUCUAACCAGAAAGCCACGGCUAACUACGUGCCAGCAGCCGCGGUAAUAC
rnacentral:rRNA from 1 species